GUUCGGCUCCUUUUCCUUGCCCUGAAACUCCACCUAAAAUAACAUGGUGGUAAACAUCAUUUACUUGAAGCAGAGACAAGAUACAUGAAGUGAUGUCCACAAACACAGACACUGAAGAUAUACUGGAGGUUUUUUAUGACCAACAAGGACAUCAGAAAGAGUGAAGUUUAUUAUUUAAAAAAGCUCAUAGCAAGGUCCUUAAAUUACCUUUAUGUUGGAUUUUGCCUAAUAUAAAUUGUACAAUUUUGGGAGGUUUACUGCUAUUUAAUUUAUGUUUAUAUUAUUUAGACUAUAUUUAAUAUAGGCUAUAUAUUUUUACAAAUACGAUACAUAAACUUCAUCCUAUCUGACCUUAAUUUUGUCUGUAUUAAAAGUCAUUAUACAUGUACAGUAUAUUGUACUAUCCAUACAUAUGAGAAACUGUGUAGAAGUCAUGUGGAGUUUUGUUGUUGUUGUUGUUG